rnacentral:rRNA from 1 species
UACGAAGGGAGCUAGCGUUGUUCGGAAUUACUGGGCGUAAAGCGUGCGCAGGCGGCUUCUCAAGUCAGGGGUGAAAGCCCAGAGCUCAACUCUGGAACUGCCUUUGAGACUGAGAGGCUUGAGUACGGGAGAGGUGAGUGGAAUUCCCAGUGUAGAGGUGAAAUUCGUAGAUAUUGGGAAGAACACCGGUGGCGAAGGCGGCUCACUGGCCCGUAACUGACGCUCAUGCACGACAGCGUGGGGAUCAAACAGG